CAACACAACAUUCUUAUCAUCGAAACCCAAAUUCCCAGAUUCAUCGAAACUCUCUGAAACUCAUUUCACCGAAACCCUUCUCUCAUCGCACAACUCUGAAAUUCAUUCGCACAGCUUCGAAUUCUAUUUGCACAGCUCAUUCGCUCAUUUCACCGAAACUCUUCUCUCAUCGCAUUGUGAAUUCGAACUCCGAAGAGAAGAAAGAUAAGAAGCUUCUGGAAAAGAAAAACAGAUGAAAUGAUUUCGUAUGAGACGAUCUCUGUCGUCAAUGAGUUCCCUCAUGAUCCUCAUAAUGGAGGAAGUUGAACAAGCUAGUAGAACAGCUGUUGUAAGCUGUCAUAGAGUUCUGAGUAUGUUAUCUCAACCAAGAGAUAAGUUCAUCAUAAGAAUUUAAUGGUGGAAACUGGUGAAGCUGUGAAUAGCUUCAAGAAAGUUGUGUCUUUGCUUCAAGAUGGUAUGGGUCAUGCAAGAUUUAGGAAGUUUAGGAAUCAGAAACAAGUUCCUUUUCCUCAAAAUGCCUUCUUGGACAAUCCGGUUUGCAAGAAAUUGAACAACCAUCACACCAAGAAGGUUCACUUUAGUCAAACUACUUAUCCUGAGAAUUCGGGUUAGGAACUUGCAUUGACCGUGCGAAACCUGAACACUUUGUUGGAAUUCAGCUCUAAUGGGAAAAUUCCUCUUCCCCUUGCUCAACAAGCUGCGUCGAGUUAGUCGACUCACUAUUAGUUCUUUCAGCAUCAGCAGCAACAAAGGUUAAUGAUUGAAGACAAACUUGUUUGGAUUGUUUACAUUGUUGUUGCAAUUCUUAAGAUAGAACAAAGCACAGUUUGAGCUUGCUACUAAUACUUUGGAACGUGUUGCGCCACUGACACAUGCAGUUGGAAAUAUGUUAAAGAGAGUUUUCGUCAUUGGAUUUUCAAUAGUGGUGUUUGGCAACAAGAUAUCUACACAAACUGGCAUUGGAAAAUAAACAUAUUUUAUAUAUAGUCUUCAAACUCCAACCUACUGUUAUUGUGAAGUAAACAAAGAACUGCAAUUUGAAAAACGUAUCUCCAGUCUGUUUCCAUGGGUGGUCGCGGCGGCUGAACACCCCACCUCUCUUUAACACAUUUUACAAUGUUUUCGUCAUGAAAAGUUGCAGGUUAUGUGCGCGUGAUAAUUUUGGAGAAAAGUUGUUUAUUAUAUCUUUAUCCAAUAUAUCUCAGCUGUUUGAUUUGUGUUAUAGAAAGUGCUGCAGAGUAUCCGAAUGUAGUCCAACCUACCUCACUGUUUCUUAAUCCUAGUAAGUUCUGUUAAAAUUAUCUGACUCUACGUCUUGUGGUCACUUUACUUGAGCCACAGUUUAUGAUAUGCCUUUUUAAGAAGUUUGGUAGAUACUAUCUAAAAAAAAGGAUUUAAAAUCAUAUAUUUAGAAUUAGCUUCCAAAAAAGGCUUUUCACUAAUGCUGUAAUAUGUGGUAAUAAUUACUCUCCUCUGUUAACUAAUGAUCAUACCCUGCUAUUGAAUUGAGAUUGGAAUAUGUUUCCAUUAUGAAAAGGAAUCUAGUACUUGUGUAUUUAGUCUUUUCGAGAAUAAUAAACAUGACUUAUUCUUCUACUGUUUAUGUGCACUCACUCUUGGUGAGAUAGCUUAGAAUGCUAUGGUUUAUUUAAAAGGGAAUGUUUUCAAUAGUGCACUCACUUUUUUUUGGACGGUAGCUUUGAAAAUAAACCUCUACAUCCACAAGCAGCCCAGCUAUGGAGCAAUCAAGAAGAUUACAGAAAGAUGGUUCUCAAGUUAUACAAUUCUCCAAGUGCCACUGGUGGAAAAGGAACUUCAUAUUUUUUUGGGGUUUGGUACACAUAGACUAUUAUUUCAAACACAUCAGAACUCCUUGUAGAAAGUUCGUUGAUACAUGAACUGUUCUAUCUUAUUUACAGUUUUUUAUUAGAUAUCUGAUGUCAUGACAUUUUUUCAAGAGUUAAAAUCUGCUGUUUUUUCUUUUUAGUUUUAACAUCAUCUAACAAUUAGUUUCACACGUGCAGUUUUUUUCUCUGUGAGGUUGUUCAGUCAGUGCAGCACAAACUACAAAGUGAAGAAAGAAAAUAGAUUCACUAAUCUCUCUUUAAAAGCUUCGAGUUCUACUUUUAAUGAAUCACUAAUUGAACAGUAUCUUUCUACCUCUUCAUUCAUUUCAUUCACCUAGAAGAUGGACAGUUCACUAAUAGCAGAAGAAGCAACAAGCAAUGGGGAUAGUUCGGGGAAGAGAUCAAGCAAAACCUUGGGGGACAGCCUACUUACAAAUACCUGCCAAUCAAUUCGGAGAUGGGGGUCCUCCAGAUAUUUACCCUGCAUUUAAGCACACCCUCAAAACAAUUUCUAGUGAUUCAGGGUGAGAUUGAUAAUACACUUUCACAAUAAUUAUCUGUAAACAUAAUUUAACUUUUCCUUCAUUGAAAUGGAAGUAGGAGAUAUGGCAUUAUUGAAUGCGACACUAUGAUACAGGAGGGCAUUGAAAAGACUGUAAGUGACCUACCUAUUAUCCUCCAAGAAUUGUUUGUACUUAAAUUCAUGUUCACAUUUCUUUUAAUAUGUUAUUAGACGAGAUUUACGGCUUUAUUCUUCUAGGUUUGGUUGUUAUAGUUGUUCUCUAGAGUGUUAUUAAUUGUAGAUUACAGAAAAUAGCGGUUUGUUCAAAUUCAAUUACACAAGAUUGCUACAGCGGUACUAUAGCAGUUAUUUGAUGAUAUUUAUAUUAAAUAUCUUAUUGCUGAACAAUAGCGAUAGACGCUGUCUAACAACAUCUCCAUAAGUUCAAGCAAAACCUUUCCUUUCUUAUUCCUAUGUUAACAAGACUGAUGUUAACAUCAAAAUGCGUUUUCUUUAAACUGGCGAGGCACAUGGUUAUCCCCUACAUGCUAAUGUUGGUUCCACCGAAUCACUGGACAGGGUAUGACAAAGGAGCAUACUUGUUUUUGCCAUCAUACGUAAUGAGAAUACAUGAAGCAAAACAGCAACGUGAAGCUGUAAAGAGGGAUCCCAAGAAUCAACUUGACCCUAUUUUUGAGGCACUUAACACUCUUGGUGAUACCAAAUGGAGGGUAAACAAAAGCCUAAUUGGAAGAUUAUCAAGAAACAUGAGCAAAACAAUGGAUGGGCGUGUGGAUAUUAUGUAAUGAAGAACAUGUUUGAUAUUGUUGAUACUUCCAUUGUUGAAAGAUUCAAUGAGGUAGUAUAAUUUGCAGACACGUCACCCUAUGAAAAAGAGACAAUCGACCAUAUUCGGCAACUUUGGUCUCAAGUAUUUUUGCAAAUGGUUGAAAAUCAAAAGGUUGAGGAGCAAAAUCUAUCAGAUCAAAUGCAAAUGGUUGAAGAGGAUAAAGAGAUAGAAAUGUUGCCAAAACAAAAGCCAAAGAAGAAGAAGAAAACUUAUAUAUGAAGAAAGUGUUAUGACUUAGUUAAAAUAUAAUUUUUAUGUGUAUGAUUUUAUAGUACUUGAAAUAUUAUG